CCUGGUCGUCUGGGCAUACACAUGUCAAGUGGUAUCGUUGAACUUAAUGUGAUUUCUUCGGAGGUGAACUUAAGUUGGAUUAUGCCGAACGGUGAUUAACGCGUGAGUAACCUGCCUUAGAGAAGGGAUAGCCUUUGUAACGAAGAUAAUACCCUAGGACAUGAUACCUCGCAUGAGAUUUAUCAUCAAAGAUUUAUCGCUUAAGAUGGACUUGCGUCUGAUUAGUUAUUGUGGGUUAACGGCCCACCAAGACAGCGAUCAGUACCGGCUUGAGAGAUGUACGGCCACAUUGGGACUGAGACACGGCCCAGACUCCUACGGGAGGCAGCAGUGGGGAAUUUUGCACAAUGGGGGAAACCCUGAUGCAGCGACGCCGCGUGAUUUAGAAGGCCUUCGGGUUGUAAAAAUCUUUUCUAUGGGAAGAACAUGACAGUACCAUAGGAAUAAGGACCGGCUAAUUACGUGCCAGCAGCCGCGGUAAUACGUAAGGUCCGAGCGUUGUCCGGAAUCAUUGGGCGUAAAGGGUACGUAGGCGGGUAAGCAAGUUAGAAGUGAAAUCCUAUAGCUCAACUAUAGUAAGCUUUUAAAACUGCUCAUCUUGAGGUAUGGAAGGGAAAGUGGAAUUCCUAGUGUAGCGGUGAAAUGCGCAGAUAUUAGGAGGAAUACCGGUGGCGAAGGCGACUUUCUGGCCAUAACCUGACGCUGAGGUACGAAAGCGUGGGUAGCAAACAGGAUUAGAUACCCUGGUAGUCCACGCCGUAAACGAUGAGUGUUAGGUGUCUGGAGUAAAUCUGGGUGCCGCAGCUACGCAUUAACACUCCGCCUGUGAGGAGUACGCGGCGCAAGC
rnacentral:rRNA from 1 species